GAUCAAACAGAAGAAAAUGAAUGAAACUGGCAUGCAUUUUACCUUGGGCAAUAAGAAAAAGUGAAGAGUCCAGCCGCAGAAACGCUUCAAAACAAUGUUGCCUAAAAAUGACGUCACUGACGUCAUGACGUUACGUGUCAGUUACCGCGCAAAAUUAAUAGUUUUUGUCUUGAAAGUACGUAAUUCUGUGCAUUUUUUU
rnacentral:misc_RNA from 1 species